UAUGUUUAAUACUUUAAAUUAGCAUCCAAACAUCCGAUGUGACAGGAACUAACAAGUUUUAGCCCCAUCUAAACACCUCAAGGUGAAAAGGCGAUGGCCGGCGUGACACCGCUGGCGUGGUGGGCGUGCGCAGAGACAGGAGGGGAGUCGGAGCAUCACAGGGAUGAAGAGGCAACGUGCUGCAAAAAAGAGUCCCGCAACGAAACGAAGGAUAUCAAAGCAAAACCUUCCUGCACAACACGAAUCCCUACUUGUAUAGUACAAAAGACUUCGGGAGCUCUUUGGUUCGAUCAUAAAGCUUGUCAAAGGUUGUCACACAUCAUGUUAGGCAAGUUUAAUUAAGUUAAUGUUAAUGAUAUGCUCUAAAGAUAAUCAUAGAGAUGAUUAUACCGCAUACUAUAUCUACAUAUUAUCAUGUGUUGUUACUCGAAAUAGAUAACUCAUUAUUGGCUAAUGAAUAUGUGAUUCGUUCGUAAGACUAUUUAUGUUGUAUGUUAUUAUUUCUACAGGAUCCUUGAUCAAAUAUCAUAUAUGAAACAAAUAAAGUUCAAUAAUCAGCACAUAGAUUGAUUAAUUAUCGUGUCUCAUGGAUCAUGAUUGUAACAUCCCACGUCUUAACUAUAGUCUUAGUUAUGCUAAUGACUUGAUCACACCAGCUGAGAGCGGUGUUGAUUGAGCCACGAUGUUGGCUAGUACCUAUAAAUAUAUUGAUUUUUUGUUCUAUUUUGGAUAUUAAAUGGUUUCUCGGUUGUUUCUUUGUCAUUUAUUCAUUUAGUCAUAUCAAUAUGAAUCAUUGAUUUAUUAUUAGUUAGACUAAACAUGGUGAGGAGCGGGAUAAUUUAGUUUUGGUUGAAUUAUAGCAUGGAUUAGUCAUCACUAAGAGCGGAACACUUAUGCACAAUAGAAAUCACCAUGGAAGCUAUAGCACUUUAUUCACAAUUGACCAGUACAGUUUUGCAACCAUCCAUACAUACAUGGAUAUAGUUAUAUAUUUAAAAUCUUAUUAUACAGUAUGCAUUUCAUAUAUUGUACAAAUACAUUAGCCGAGAACAUAUCGUGUAAUUAGUAAUAUUUCAAAAAGGGACCCUGCGUUAUAGAACAAAUUACAAAUCAGUCCCUAAACUAAUGGUAACCUCCAAUUUUACCAGACUUGAGGGAUUCAAGUGCAAAAGUAUCAAACACCUCAGACUCUACCAAUUUUCCAUUAAUUAAGGAAAUUAACAAAUAGCUUUAGGUUAUCCCACCGAACAAGCCAUGUUGAGGUGUCACAAGUACAGGAUGGGAAUAGCCAUGCAAGCAGGUGAAUCACCAGUACAAUAUUUAUCAUUGAUAAAAUAAUUUGUGUGAAUCAUUUCCAACCCAAGUCUCGGGUUGGUCGUGCAAACCAAAACAAGCAGCAGCUGCGGCAGUAGUAGUUACAACCAUAGAACCAAGCUCCAGGAAAAAUUAGCUUAAGUGUUAGCUCCACCCAGAGAGAAAUAGCUCAACUGAAGUCCAGCUCAAACCAAUACAUGAACCAACAGUAGUAGUAACCAUGGCCAAGUAAUCAGAGAGAGGAAAACCAAAUCUGAAGGAGAAGCAGGGUUGUUUAGUUCUUGGAUGAAGAAGGGUUUCAGCUCUAGGAAGAGAUGAAACUCAGGUCAAGAAGCAAGAUGGAGCGAAAAUCAAGCAAGAGGAUCAGUCUGAAGAGGAGGAAGAGAAUCACCAGAAGCAGAUCAAGGAAGAUGUCAGGAAGCAGUCAAAUAUUACCAGUAGAGCAAGAGCCAAGGAGGAGAAUUACCUGAGUUCCAAGUAGAGCAUGGGGGUUCAGUUCAAGAGGGGGGAAACAAUCAGUCAAGCUCAAGGUGGAGAAGCUCAGUUCUAGCAAAAUCACCUUAGAUCCAGAAGAGCAGCAGUAGAAGAGAAGACUUGGAGUUCUGGAGGAGGAGCUGAACCACACAUUUUUCAAUCACGGUAGAAUCAACCGAGUUGGAUAUUUAUCUUGGAUUUCUUGGAGUUCUUCAAUGAUUUAUUCGUUCUUCGAUUGUGGGUAUCUCAGGCAAGUCCAACAUCUUUGAACAUCUCUUGUUAUAUUUUUGUAAUUGCAAUCUAUAUGUAUCACAUUGCAUUAAAUUAUAAUUUCUAUGAUUAAAAUAAAUAUGCUGAUGGAUUGGAUUGACUGGUGGAGCAGUCGGUCAUACUAUAGAUGUAUUCUGAACUUGCCAUGAUGGUGGGGGUUCAGUUGCAUAUAUUUAUCAUCAUAAGGUUAAACAACAACUGUUAUAUAACAUUCAAGCGCCGUAGCGAUCGUGUCGACCAUAUGACCUGGAAUGGGACAGGCUGGCUUAGUAGUUCUUUCUUAAUGGCUUUAUCCUGCGGACUUAAGGACUUCCGCGAAUCCCGUGAGCGUGGGCUAGCGAUGAGGGUUGCCGUUGUUGCGGAAUCCGAUUAGAUGAUGUGGAUCGCCGUUGUUGUGGGAUCCGAUGAUUCGCCGUUGUUGCGGGAAUCACCCGCAGAGAUAAUUGCCAAAUGGGAUUGAUGAAAAGCUUGUGACCUUAGCCUUGCCGGCAUACACCAUGAAGUGUGCUUCAAGCGCCGACGGGCGUGGGCAUUAAAAGGUUUAAGGCAUCUGUGGGUACAGCGACACACCUCUGCAGAGUGUACGAAUUGUGAUAUGUCACUCCCUGUUUCGGAUAGAAACCGUGAACGCGGCAGGAAAGGAACCUAUCGGAGGUUCUAAUACCUGUGGUGCUUUAUAUGCAGUAGAUUUUAUAAUUACUUAAUAUGAGCUUUUACUACACUGUUUUAUGAACAUGCAUAAAAUUCCUUGUUGGAUUAUGGGAUUUGGAGAUAUAUGUAUUAUGCAAGUGGAUUAUGGGCAUGUAUUUGUUGGAUUGCUAUAGUUGGACUUGUUGAGUACCAUUCGUACUCAUCCCAUAUAUAUAUUAUCCUUUGUAGAUGUUUGAGCUAACUCUUUAGGCGUCGAAAAGGUUCUCUUGGAAGAUGAACAGCAAGGAGAAAAAUUCGGGAGUUGUAUAUGAAGUAAAGCAUGGUCAGUAUCAAGUCAAGAUAAAGAUCAUUAUUGGAAAUUGUUGGAAAUUGUUGUUGAGAUAAAUUUAGUUAUUAUGUUGAUAAAAGCUAUUUUCUAUGGUUUUUAUUUAAUGGGUUUCGCUACAAUUGUUUCUGCUAUGCUACUCUGGUGUGCUCAUUUCUCGGUAAGUUAAUUCUUACUAAGGAAUGAGCCGUAGACCGGUAUUCUACCUUGGAAGUGGAAUACGAGGGUCGCUACAAUGGUAUUGUUGUCGGGAAAUCCGCGCUCGGCCGAUGGUGCCAGAACUAUGUUGGCGCGAACUAAGUCGAUAACAGCAACGGCUCGGAAGUUCUAUUUAGCUCCAGUUUAGGUCCAAAAUAUUGAUGAGAUGCGGGCGUGCCAGUCAGUUUGAUCCUGCAACUGAGAAGAUAAGUAAACAAUAGAUCAAAUAGCCGAUCGGCUAACAAGCCGAUGGAAUAGUUCCAGCCAUUGUCGAUACUAGCCGAUGUCGAUAGGGUUUUGAGCAAUUGGCUAUAUGUUCCAUGUAGAUAACGAUACAAAGACAAUCGGCUGAUGGUAAUAUAAUAAAACAAUAAUAUAAUCCAUUAGAAACUAGUCGGCUAAUAAUGAUAUAAUAGAAUAAACACUAAUCCAAAUGUUAAAGCAUACUUUGGCUGGAGAUCCGAUGUCAUAAAAUCCACAAGAUUCGAUAUUCAAUGAAACCUUUGUUGCAAUCGGCUAAAACCAACUUAUAUACAAUCCUUGUAAGCCAAUGUAACGUCCAGAUAACUCAUCGGUUGAAACCCGAAUGAAACUCUUAUUAUAACCAAAGACAGGUUAGCCUUUAUGAUUCUAAGCACGACUAGUAAUGAUGCAUCACAAAAGUAUGCAAAGAAGCAUAAAGUCUAAACAAUCAAGACUUUGACUAUUUUCAGGGUGGUGGAUACCUUAGUUAAUCUAAUCUAGCAAGAUAAUUUAGCUGAUACCAGCAUAAACUCUAAAACGAAUCUUAGCCGAUAUGAUUAAAUUAAGAUGCUAAACUAGAUCAACUAAGAUAUAUGAUAAAUAGGUAGGCAAAAAUAUCAACCGAACCAGAAUGAUCCAAGAGGUCGAAGCGAUGCAACCUUGAACAACACCAAUGUAGCCGAUACAAUUGCUACGGCUGGCGGAACGUAGGACUUGCCCCUUCGCCGGAGAUCGAAAGCCGAUGUAACCCCGCAUCAGGUGCCAAGUUCAGUCGUGUAAGUAAAAACCUCGGGAAAGAGGGUGGCGAUGCAUCGAGAGUAAUUUUAUUGAUCGGAAGAUAGUUUAUAAUGACCCCUAGUGUACAUAUUUAUACCCAUGGGUAGAUACUAGUCCUUAUUGGACAAGAAAGAAAUUUUCCUAAAGAUAAAAGGAAAACAUAAAGUCCUUAUCGGACACUAAACACACUUUCCUAAAGAUAAACGGAAACUAACAAUUUUUUUCUAAUUAAUAGAUAAACUUAUGCCGCCAUGCCAUAGUCUUUACGAUUCUUUCUUGAACUCGGUCGCUUCUGGAUAAGCUUCCUGCAAUUGAUUAAUUUCCUUAACCGAAAUUAGCAGAGUCAGGUAGUUUUGUUUUUUAUUUUUAGGAAAGAUUGUUUAGAAUUAGAUCAAUACUUAUAUCUUUUACUUUAUCUUUAGGAAAGUCUGUGUCUUGUCCAAUAAAGACUAGUAUCUACCCAUGGGUAUUAAUGUGUACACCCAGGGUCAUUGUAAAAUAUCUCUCGAUCAAUACAUCUCUCGGCGCAUCGUCACCCUCUUUUUCGAGGUUUUUAUCACUGACGGAACAUGGCAUCCGACGCAGGGUUGCAUCGCUUCUAUCUUCGGUGAAGGGGUAAGGCCUAAGUUCCGCCGGCCCUAGCCAUUGUAUCAGCUAUAUCGGCAUUGUUCAAGGCUGCAUCGCUUCAAUCUCUUGGAUUGAACUGGUUCGAUUGGUAUAUUUGCCUACCCGAUAUUUCAAUUCUACCUUUAAUUGCAUCGUGUUUUGUGACACAUCGAUUUACUUGUGACUGUCUCGGUUUAGUUUGAUCUUUUGUCUUAGCCAAUACAUCACUAUAAUCAUAAUGUUAUUUUAAAUAGAUUUAUUAUAUCCAUCAUGUUAGCAUAGAUCUAUCGACUUAUCUAGCUUAUUUGAUCAGACAUAAUCUACAACUAUCUCGGUUAGGUCCGAUCUUCAAUAUUACUACUAAUAAUUUAAGUCUUGUUAAGUUCAUAGAUUUGUGCUACAUUUUAUCGGAGUGCUAGCCGAUAAGUAAUUUUUUUAAUCGGACUUCCAGCCAUUGUAUGCUUUAACCAAGUCUACAUUUAAAUAUUCUAUGUCAAUAUCGGCCGAUUGAUUGGUUCAUUGGACAUCUGCUUCAUCAUAUUAUCAUCGGCCGAUUAGAUCAUUUGUUCAAGUUCUUCCAUUGUCCUAAUCUAAGUGUUAGAAUCUACAUCGGAUGUAUAGCGGAUUGUCCAAAAUCCUAUCGACAUCGGUUAGUAUCGCUACAUCGGCUUAUUGGCCGAUCGGCUCUUUUAAUCAUCAAUUUAUCUAUCUUGUCAGUUGUAGGAUCAAACUAACUGGCACGCCCGAUAUUUCAGGACAUGCACUAGAGUUAAGAAAAUCUCUCAGGUCUUCAUGUGUCACAACAAAAUUUCACGUCAACAUAAAUUGGCACGCCUGGUAGGACACAAAAUUUAUUCCAACAUGUCUGAAGAAGAAGUUGAUUCCAAGAUCCCGGUUAGAAUGGAGAAUUUGACAGAAGAACAGAAGCAACAGGUGGAGCAAUUUGUGGCUGAUUUUUAAAAGUGUUGUCUUCAAUCUUUUGUCAUGAUGCAACAGGGUCUGAUUCAUAAGACUCAAUUCCCCAUAUUGAUGGUUGAAACAUUUCAACAUACAGUGAAUAAGGCAAUUCAUCAUGCAUGCUUUGUUCAAUCAACCUGAAGUUUUGAUGAACACAUUGUAGAAUUUGAACAAGAAAGGAAUUGAUGAAUUAAUCGAUCGAGGAAUUCAGCUCAGGGGGCAAUCACAUCAGUAUCGGCAUGACGAGUCACAUCAAUAUCAACAAAAACUUCAUCAGUAUCGGCGUGGUGAAGAGUAUCAAUAUAUGUAAGGAACAAUACCACAUCAAUAUACUAAUUAGAGAGAGGGGAGAGUCGCCUCCGCCAUCGCCUGCGGUGGCCGCCAUCACCAUCGCUCCCUCCUUCGGUCGGAUCUGGGAGGAAGGGAGGGGAGUGCCACCUCCACCGCUGCAUGCGGUGGCCACCACCACCAUCGCUCCCGUCCUCCACUAGAUCUACGAGGGAGGGAUGGAGGGAGGGAUGAGAGGGGAGCGCCUCCACCGCCACCGUCGCUCCCCUCCUCCGACCAGAUCUAGGAGCAUGGAGAGAGGGAAGGGGAGCGCCGCCUCCGCCGCUGCUUGUUGUGGCCGCCUCCACAACCCUUCCCUCCUCCGGUCGGAUCUAGGAGGGAGGGAGGGAGGGGAGGGCUGCGCCGCCUCGGCCGCCACUGUGGCCCUUCCCUCCUCCAGCCGGAUGGUGGAGGGUAAGGGUGUGAAGGGAAGGGGAGGUGGGUAGAGGGUGAGGUGAGUGAGUGAAGGGAAGGAGGACUUAGCGGGUGGAGCUCGGCCGGAGGUGGAUUUUAUGAGGCCUAACUUUGUGCAGGCAGACGUCUCAAGGUCUCGCCUGUGAAAAUCAAUUUUCACAUGCGUUGUCUUAAAGGUCCGCCUAUAAGUUAUUUUUUAGGCAUGCGUCUUAAGACCACGCCUGUGAACAUCGAUUUUCGUAGGCGAGAAUAAACUUAAGGUAUCUUUAGCUAUUUUUGCAAACGAUGAGGUGGAGGAGAGAAGUGAGGAAGAGAGAAUAGGCCCACCUUUCAUGUAAGAAACAACCUCUAUACGAUCUCUAGUGUGAAAAUGAAAAAAAAAAGAAAAUUUGGGAGUUUGUGCACUAGAGAUAAUAUGGCUAAAUUUAAAGAUAGUAGUAUCAUUCACUAUAAAACUUGCUCUAAUGAAUUUGUCUUUCACUCUACAAACUCUAAUUGCUUGAAAGAUAAAGUUAUUUUAAAACAAAUAAGGUGGUGAAAGAUAAAUUUAUUCAUGGAGGAAAUAGAUAGACAAAACAGUGGUAAGGACGCUCUAGAGCCUAGAGGAAGCUAUGCUUGAUUGUAGAGCAACCCCGUGAUGGUGCGAUGGCUAUAUGUGCCACCAAUAAUCAUUCUCGCAUCAUCGCAUUAAUCGUGUGUGCGCGGCGAGAGUGGAGAGUCCAAACUCCAAAAGGUCCAAUCAGCCAAUCACCGGCAGUUCGGGAAGGGGGGAAGGGAGGCUUGUACGGCACUUGUUGGCAUGGAGUGUGCUUGCGACCAAACAUAUCCAUCCAUCCAUCCAUUUCGACUCGAUCGCCCGUCGAUCGGCCGCACCGCACGCACGCGACUCGCCAUCGAUCAGAAUUCGGAAGGCUUGACGCUAGCCUCUCGCUUGAUUCCGCCGGUCGUUUUCACGCCGCGUGCACGUUUUCCUCUGGCCCUUGUGUGUGUGCAUGCGUACGUUGUGCGGAUUAGCGGCACGUAAGUAGGUGCGUGACACUGGCCCAAAUUAACGAGAGCAAGAGUGCCUCGCGCGCGCGCGCGCGAGCCGCGUGAACUCAUUCAUGCACGCAUGUGCAUGCACCUCCGUCCGUCGUCCGACCUCCGGUGAUGUUUGUGUUUUAACCGGACGAAUCCGUGCGCGCACCUGGAACGCGUGUGUCCAUCAAAUUAAGGUGCGUGAGCUGAAUCUGUCGCCCAAUUGUGGGUAGGCACCCUUCUUCUUCCAGCUACUGUACUACUUAUGUGUAAGGGGGACGUUUCCAUUGGCACCUAAAUUUGGGUGCUCCGAACCUGAUUGAAACACAUCAAAAAUGUAAUGGUGUGUUUCACUAAUCACCAUUAAUUUGUUCAUUUUAUAUACUGUGUUACAGUUUCU